UAUUGCUUGAGGCUAGGUUU
rnacentral:misc_RNA from 1 species